ACACUUCCCUGGCAGCGAGGACACCGUGACCGGGAAGGUGGCUAUCCCAGGACAGGUUUCUUCCAUUGCACUUGGACCUGCUGGCCCCUGGGAUUUCCCGAAUGUGCAAAACUCCACUGCAGAAUUUGUGUCCUUCGGGGACUGUGCUGGCACUUUCCCCCA
ensembl:snRNA U1 U1 spliceosomal RNA